AGAGUUUGAUCCUGGCUCAGGACGAACGCUGGCGGCGUGCUUAACACAUGCAAGUCGAACGAGAGCGUAGAGAAAGCUUGCUUUUUCUACAAUCUAGUGGCAAACGGGUGAGUAACGCGUAAACAACCUGCCCUACGGAUGGGGACAACAGCUGGAAACGGCUGCUAAUACCGAAUACGUUCCGAAAGUCGCAUGACUAUCGGAAGAAAGGAUGGCCUCUAUUUAUAAGCUAUCGCCGGAGGAGGGGUUUGCGUCUGAUUAGCUAGUUGGAGGGGUAACGGCCCACCAAGGCGACGAUCAGUAGCCGGUCUGAGAGGAUGAACGGCCACAUUGGAACUGAGACACGGUCCAGACUCCUACGGGAGGCAGCAGUGGGGAAUCUUCCGCAAUGGGCGAAAGCCUGACGGAGCAACGCCGCGUGAGUGAAGAAGGAUUUCGGUUCGUAAAGCUCUGUUGUUAGGGAAGAAUGAUUGUAUAGUAACUAUAUACAGUAGAGACGGUACCUAACCAGAAAGCCACGGCUAACUACGUGCCAGCAGCCGCGGUAAUACGUAGGUGGCAAGCGUUGUCCGGAAUUAUUGGGCGUAAAGCGCGCGCAGGCGGAUUGGUCAGUCUGUCUUAAAAGUUCGGGGCUUAACCCCGUGAUGGGAUGGAAACUGCCAAUCUAGAGUAUCGGAGAGGAAAGCGGAAUUCCUAGUGUAGCGGUGAAAUGCGUAGAUAUUAGGAGGAACACCAGUGGCGAAAGCGGCUUUCUGGACGAAAACUGACGCUGAGGCGCGAAAGCCAGGGGAGCGAACGGGAUUAGAUACCCCGGUAGUCCUGGCCGUAAACGAUGGGUACUAGGUGUAGGAGGUAUCGACCCCUUCUGUGCCGGAGUUAACGCAAUAAGUACCCCGCCUGGGGAGUACGACCGCAAGGUUGAAACUCAAAGGAAUUGACGGGGGCCCGCACAAGCGGUGGAGUAUGUGGUUUAAUUCGACGCAACGCGAAGAACCUUACCA
rnacentral:rRNA from 1 species